rnacentral:lncRNA from 1 species
UCAUUGAUCGUCUAAGUAGUAUAGUUGAGCGACUUCGUCAGAGAGGCGUCUAAGAUAUUUCUGAUCAUGAUGUUGUUGAGAAGCUGUUCCAAUCACUCGAUGAUUCCUUCGACUCUCUUGUUGCAACCAUCAAGGAAAGAUCUGACUAUGAAAGUCUUUGAUCAGCCGAAGUGAUGGAACUAACGAAGAAUAAAUUGAGAAAGAAAAAGGCCAAGUUGAUUCUUCUGUAGAAGAGGAGGGUGAAGCCCUUUCAGAUUAUGGCAGCUCAAACGAAGAAGAAUGUGAGAAUCAACAAACUAUCACAAGGGAUCUGGAAAUGUUAACAGAACGACUCAACAACCUCACACAUCAAAAUAUGUGCCUAACAAGAUCUUCAGAAGAUGACACAACAAAUUCUUCUCUUUGGUGCCUCCACUUGAUAUCUCCUGCUUCAAAUGCAAAAGCUUCGGUCACUACAUCACUGAUUGCCUAACACGGGAAAUGGAUGUCAAACCCAACAGAAGAUGGAAUGCACUUAACUGCAGUGUAUUCAAGCGAGCAGAUCGUUAUACUAAGCUCAGAAGAAGAAUGAACCAUCUACAUCUUCCUCAAUGAGACCAACCACUGACAUAAACCCUAACGUUGUGAUUGAAUCCAACAUGAAGAGAAUGUCCAAACUGGUUGGUGCUUACGCUGGAAUGACAAUGGACUCUGAUGAUGAAAUAUCCGAGUCGGAAUUUGAUGGUAAAGAAUUCUUUACCAGAAUAGAACGAGGUCGUGCCCUUGUUGUUCGUGCAUCAUCUACAUCGUCAACUUAUUCUAACAGCGACUCAAGUGACCAUGAAACACCAGCAUUCUGCUUCAUGGCAAAAGCCUCAAGAGAUCAGGUAUCACCAGAACGCCAAAAAUCUCACGACAAGAAUGUUAUCUCUCCAGAAAACGUUGUCUAUGCUAAACUUAUAAAAAUGGCUAAAUCUCAAUAAGAUAUUGUUGAAAGACUUGAGAAAAACCCUCAGGAAAUCUGAAGGUUUGCGGGUCGAAUAGAUGGAGAAGAAUCAAGUGUUGGUGGAAGAGCAUGAUGCUCUCUCAGCAACGUUUGAAGAUCUACCCGUCCGUCAUGAUUCUCUUUCAGUUGAUUUUGAGAGGUUGUCGAAUGAUCUCCUAAAAAGGAAUAAAGAUCUCGAAUCACUAAAGGAGUCUCACGAUGAGCUCGCGAAGGAAAAUGCUCCUCUCUUGGCCAAGCAAAUUGAAAAAAAAUCUGGUGACUUUUUGCCACCUUGCCUAAAAUGCUUAGAGCGCAGUAAUUCAAAUUCAAUUGCUGAAACAUCAAAUGUUGUUGAAAGAAAUGCAACUGUUGUCAAUAUGAAAACUAAUGCCUCUGCCGAGGAAUAUGUUGCUACUUCUGAUGAAAAAUCAAGGUUGAAGAAGUUGCUUGAGAUGGAAUGCUCAAAAGCCUCAAAAGGCAUCAAACGCUUUGUGACAUGCUCAGGAAGUCUAUUCUUCGUAGAAAAUUACCAUAGAACAAUCAUAGGACAACUGUUCAAUGGUUUGCGGUUCAAAAAAAAGGAGGUGAGGAAAAAGGAAAAAGGCCCGAAAGCGAUAAAAACGGCGAUUUGCGAUAUACAACGGUGAGCAUUGGCACUAACAUAUCUUGAUAACAUCAGAACUCUAAGAAAAGAUAUCCAAAAGUGAUGCCUCGGGGCGGGGCGAGGAACGCCGUGUAAGCGCCGGAUCAAACCACCUAGGGAUUUUCACCGUGAAAGACAAGUUUGAGUAAACUACAAGCAAUGACUUGAUCAAGGUAACAACGCAAAGAGCGCCACCAAUGUCCUCCACCUGCCACGAUCCCGAUAGCUGCAGACGCGCACAUUACUGACGGCGAGAGAUGGCCAUGCCCGCACGACCAGGCUCACUAGCUACGACAAGAGCCGGUUUCGAAAACAUGAUGAAGUCUUUGACGGGGAGGAAGGACACUGGCACUGCCGAAAUUUCAUGUUCGAGACAUUUCAAACUCCUGCGCCGUCCUCACAAGUGGCAAUUGAUGGCUAUUUUGCAGCAGACACACCACCGCCCGCCCCUUGGUAGCCCUCGCCUAUGGCAGCGAGGGGAAGGACAAGAUCAAAUAUCGUGCAUCGCCCUUAGCGACGCAGACACAAACAAUCCAACACGGGAAUGAGCACGACGCUGCCGGGGCCCCCAAAAAAAGCCAUCGACUGCUCCGCACCGCCGGUCGAUUGAUCACCAUUGCCGCCCGAACAUAGGCCGGAAUUUCUUGGCCCUCGAACCAGUAGCCGAAACACCAGCCUAGCCUAUGCAGAUACGCGCUGCAAAAAGUCCACUUGGACCUCACCAUUUGCCAACUCAUUCCCCCCUCCCUCUCUUUCCGUGCCCACCCACACUCCCCCGCGCCCUCUCACCCUUCCUUCCUCGCCUCAAGCAACGCAUCUCUCUCCCUCUCUCUCUCUCUCGCUCGUGGGAAGCAGAUAUUCUAUACGUCCGUAGUUGGCCGUAGCUGCAUCCUGUCCGGCCCAAACAACUCUCUCUCCCCACACGAGGAGCUCCCGAUGCAGCAGCUAGCAGUCGCGGCACUACUAUUCUGGACGCAGCCGGCCACUUGCAUUAGGGUAUGUUUAGCAUGGGCGCAGGGCGUCGAUUGGGCCCGCAAACCGUGUCACGGGGAGAAGACCGCUUCAGGCCUUGCCAUGCCUACAGCUCCAACGUGCGUGCUUCUCCUCCUCCACGGGGAGGCAAACAACCGGACCGAGCUGCGCUGAGUUGGAGCAUCAAGAUCUCUGUUCUCAAAUAUAGGUCUUUCUAGAGAUUUCAACAAGUGAUUACAUACAAAGCAAAAUGAGUGAAUCUAUUGAAAUGUUUAAAAAAACUUAUAUUUAGGAACGGAGAGAAGCAAAAAGUAGCUAGCCAGCAGGUGCACUGCGAGUACAGCCUGCCAAAACCAUUUGUCCUCGUGGCAUAACUCAGCUAAUCAAGCGAGCUGGGCCGACAACCGGGCAGUACAAAUUUGGAACAACCCUGCAGCUGCAGCUGUAGGUCGGACCCAAUGAAAUGCAGCUGGCCGGUUCAGGUUAACACCCAGGAACAUGGCGUGUUGCCGACCGACCAAACUAAUGGAACCUUCUAUCUAAUCAGAGCCACACCCAAACGCAACCAUCAUCAUGCGCUUCUCACCAAUACAGCCACACCCACAGAGUAGUACCGAGCGAGCGCGUCCAGGCACGACGUGCACCAACCACCACACUGUCAAUGGACCCAGCCUUGCCUGGAACCAACUCGCUCCUGUCCCUGUGCUGCGUGCCUGCGCUCAUGGCCAACAAUAAUUCGUGCCCCGCGCCCCACACGACACAACCACAGCAGCGAGCCCCAACCAAUCAAUCAAAUCCAUGGCGCAUUUGGAUUCCAGAGCACCACCAAAUCUCACACCCCGAUCAUCACCCGGCAGUACGAUCACCACUUGCGAUGGGGGAAUCAACCAAGCAAUCCAAUCAUAGAGGAAUCGAUUGAUGUAAGUAGUAUGUAGUAGGUAGUAUGAAUCACAUAUACAUGCUAUUUUUCAAAAGAAAAAUCCUUCACACUAAGACCACCACCGGCGCUUAUUUUCUGCACGGACGGGACGGGACGGAACGGAAUGGACGAACACGCUCGCCACUUCACCGGCCAGGGCCUGUUCAUCUUCUGUUGUUUGAUGUACAUACAUACAUACACUCGGAACAAAUUAAAAGAAAGAAAAAUGGGGGAAACGAUCCAUCGAGGAAAAGGAAAGAAUAAACAGACGGAGGAGCAAACAAUCGGCACCAGAUUGGUCGGAUCGGAUCGAGCAGAGCAGAGCGAUCGACUGAUGGACGGACGCACGAGAAAGGAAUCAAGCUAGGCAGGGGCAUGUACCAUGCCGUCACGGGCG